AAUGACAUAAGACCUCUUUUUUGCUGAGAUGUUUAUGCUCUGAGUUGCCUGUUGAUCUGUGCCUGUUCCUAUAAGAUAUCUUUCAGUCUCAGCCCUUCAAUAGCUCAGAAUAUAACAGAUGAAGAAAUAGAGUCAAUUGUAAAUAUAUUGGGUCAUGCUGGAGUUGAGUGGUCUGCUUAUCCAAUCUGAUUAGACUCCUUAUGAGAAAACAUCCAAGAAAAGUGAGAUACACCAAACAUGCUAUGUAAUGCGAGAAGUGACAUGGGAACUACACAUCUGCAAACCAAGAUAUAUUUAAGAUUGCCAUCCAUCCAUCAUAAUCUAGGAAGAGGCAGGGAAAGAUUCCAACAACAGUUUCAGAGAGGUUAUGGUUUUCUAACAUUAUCGUUUUAGACUGUAGUACUUAGAAAUACGGAACAAUCACUCUCUAUUGUUUUAAGCACCUAGUGAGAGACAGUUUGUCACAGCACUGGAAUCCAAUCUGUUGACUUAAAGGUUAGCCAAACCAAUGAACAGGAGGAAAGAGUGGAGGGGCAGGUUUCACUGGGCUUGAGCCAAUUCCAGGCCUGUCAACUUAGACAGCUGUUCUGGAGUAAAAGGCAAUUAAUUUUACCUUUAUUUUUGUAGCUACUAACUUGAAAUAUUUGUGCCCUUUGGUAGCUGUCACCCACCAGGUGCCUGGGCAAUGGCUUAGUAUUCAAUGGCAAGGUUUCCAAUAAACCUUGCUAAUAGAAUUUCAGAAGUUCCUACAUACUUCAGGUAUCUAAAGAAGAAUUAUUACAGAAAAAAUUUGCAGAGCACUAACACGAAUACAUUCACUAUAAGCUACAAUGGAAUGGAUGUAAUUCUCCCUCAGUGGUAAAAUAGGAAUGUACAAACAUUCACUAACCACUAACCUUUGUUCAUCCUUAGAACUUGUGUUUAGUGCAUCGUUCAACUGCCUUCUCUGGGGAUAUUUACUUGUUGUCUUGUAAAAAUGUCCUUGUAGCUUUUUCUUGCUGCAAGUUUUAAUUUUUUAAUAAUUGAACAGAAAUCUGUAUAUACCGAGUAGUUAACUCAUGAAUUUUCUAGUUCUUCCCCUUUCCUCAUUAAGCAAAGCAGCUCCAGGUUAUUGGUUCACAUUCAGCCUUUUCCAAUAGGGAAACUUCAUUUCUCUCAUUGACCUACUUUUGCCCAAUUGUCUACCUUUAGAACUGAAGUUGCCUCAAGCUUAUCUUGGGUAUGCCAUUCCUAAUUUCUUGGAUCAGUUUUCUGACUUAAUAUGUUGGCAUUUUAGCAUCAACCUUAGACACUGGCAUGAACACAACACUUUCCUCUAACAAACAUUCAGAGCCUCACGGUUCUGAUACAUAGAAAUACUCUAAAUGUUGAUUUCAUUAAAGCUCUUUGACUUUCAUUAAAUAACUGUCUUUUUCUCCAAAGGCCUGAUUCUCCCUCCUUUGACCUUUUUUCCCAUCUGUAAUUGUAAUUAUAAUUGCAAUUCUAUUUGUAUUUCUUUGCAUUGUAGUUGUAGUCCCUUCUGUAUCCUUGGAGGGAGAAUUCCUGUGCCUUUAUUGGUAUCUGAACAUUCAUUCUUUUUGCUUCUUAACGUUAGCUUUCCAUUCCAAUAGCAAUUCCAUUGCAUCAGCCUCCUAUCGUAACUACCAUAGUAACUAUACUUUAUCUCUUAACUCACUGAAUAAAGAUCAAUUGAGGAAUACUAUAUUCCAGGAGUGCUCUAUAAUUCCAGGAAAGCUAUAAAGCAGACAGUUUUUGCUUCCCAGAAGUUUAUAAUAAAGAGGUAUGUGUAUCAAAAGGCUAAGGCAGUAACCAUUAAAAUAACAAUCAUUUAUUUGAAAACCUGAAUUUUGACUCUUUGAUCACUUAGUGUCUUAUUCAUGUUUUGAGCUGCAUCUGACACAAGUGCAUACUGCUGACAGGUAUUUGUUGUGAUAACAGCUCUUAGUAAACUUUCUCAUAUUGAUCAUAAAAAAAUAUCUACAAACUCCAACUCAUGGUGAGCAACUCAAAACUUGCCUACUAAGAGGAAGGCAGAGAUGCCUCUUCUACUACUGCUCUGUAGCACCAAGGCAAGUCUGCAUAAUUAAAUAAGCUUAGAGAAGGAAAUUGAGAGUUAACGGGCUUGCAAGGCAGGAAUGAAACUGUCUUUGUUUAUAGAUGAUGUAAUUGUCUAUAUGGAAAUUCCAAAGGAACGACAAAACUAACUCCAGCACUCCACUCAAAUCAGAAACUACUUAGCAAUUUCAACAUGGUUUUUGGAUACAAGAUUAGCACAUAAAACCCAAUCAUUUUCUCAUCCGCUAGAAAAAUAAGGAGAAAUGGGAACCAUAAUGUCAUUUUGCAUCUAUAUUAAUAUGAAAUACUUAUGUUUAAAUAUAUGGAUAUAAGUAUAAAAUUUUCAUAAGCAAAACUAUACAACUCUAAUAAAAAACACAAAGAAGUAAAUAAAUGGAGGGGUUAUUGUAGAUUCAUUAAGGAUAUUCAAUACAUUCUCAUUUAUUUUAUUGCUUCAGUACAAUCUCAACAAAAAUUCCAGCAAGUUGUUUUGUGGAUAUAAACAAACCAAUUCUAAAAUUAAUAUGGAAAUCUAGAAAAAUACAGAGGAGUAAGAAAACACUAAAAAAAAGAAUACAGUUGGAAGACUGAUAUCACUGAUUCAAAGAUUUACAAGAGGCUGAAUCAAUCAAGGCAUUGUGAUACUGGCCAAGAGUAAAGCCCAAAACAAUGGAACUGAAGAUGCCCAGAAAUGCAGCAGAGGACAGGUUCAUGGAAAAAGUUAUCUACUUGAUCAGAAUAUUUUAUAAAAUAAUACUGGAAAAAUAGGACAGGCACAUACUAAAACCAAAAACCAAACCAGAAUCACCAUUCAGAAAAAUUAACUUGGGCUGGAGAGAUGGCUCAGUGAUUAAGCGCAUUGACUGCUCUUCCAGAGAUCCUGAGUUCAAAUCCUAGCAACCGCAUGGUGGCCCUAAACCAUCUGUAACGAGAUCUGAUGCCCUCUUCUGGGGUGUUUGAAGACAGCUACAUUGUACUUAUAUAUACUAAAUAAAUAAAUGUUUAAAAAGAAAAAUGAAUUUAAAACAGAGUUAAAUAAAAGAUAUAGUAUACAACUUGUAGAAGAAGAUAACAUAAUGAAAAAUCUAAUGGAUAUUGUGUUUGUCUAUGAUUUUUUGAGGUGCAUGUUCAAAGGAAUGAUUUAUGAAAUAAAUAAUUGAUCAGAAGACUUUAUUAAAAUAAAAGAGGCUCUACCAACUAUAAUGUGAGGAGAAUGAAAAAGAGUAAAGUGUUACUAUUUUACAAUGGGUAGAACUAGAGAUCAUUAUAUGCACUGAAAUAAGGUGGCCACAGAAAGAUAAGAACUGAAUGAUCACAACCACAUGUGAACUAUGGAAGGUUGACCUCAUAGAAGUGGAGAGUAGAAUGGCCAUCACUAGAAAGCCACAGAAGUAGGGAGUCAUGGGGAGUUAAACAUCAGGUACAAAGUUAGAGUUUGAUUGAAUUAAGACUUUCUGGUAUGCUAUUACAUAUUAGUAUCACCAUAGAUCUGUUUUGCUGAAAUAUACAUGUUUAAGCUGAUUUGAACAUUAUACAAUAUAUUCAUGAAUGAAAGAUUGAAUGGUAAACUAUUCAUAUUUCUUAUUUUGUUUUUAUGUCAGUUAGAAGGUUAGCAAAAAAAGGGGCAUGAAUCAUAUAACUUAAAAUGAGCCAAAGACCUUAAGCAGCAAGCUAUCCAGAUGUUAGACAAGCGCAUAAAAACAUGCUGUGGAGAGGGAAAUCUAUGAAUAAAGAGCUUUUCAAAAAUGAAAGAAUGAUGUCUAACACCUUAAAUGGUAAUUAAAUUAUGAAAUUAUGAGCAUAAUUUAUAUGUUCAUGAUGCUGCACAUUUGAGCUCAUUUAGGAAAUUCAUUAAAACAACAAUGGAAUAGCAUUAUCUACCUAGUAGCAUUUAUAAAAGGUGAACACCACAGACACCAAGUGCUGGUAGAGAUGUAUAUCAAUAGAUACUCCCUUCAUGCACUGUUUGUCAGGGACGCAAAAUGCCUCAGUUGCUUAGGAAAAGCUUUGGUGGUUUCCUAUAGAACCAGGAAUAGUUUUCUCACACAACUCAUCAAUUAUGUUCAUUGGUAUUUAUCCAAAUAAACUAAAAACUUAUGUCUAAAUAAGGUCUAUACAGAGAUAGUUGUAGCAACUCUCUUUUGCCCCUUGAAGUAGAUAGGCACUAAAAUAUCCUGCAGUCCAUGAAUGGAUAAACUCUGGAAUAUAUUGAACAUGAGAUGUUAUUUAGCAGUAAAAAGGAAUGAGCUUUUCAGCCAUAAAAGGGAACAGAGAAAACUUAAAUACAUAUUACUAAGUAAAAGAAUUCAAUAUGAAAAAGUGGUAUACUAAACUAGACCAAAAAUAUGUAUGGCCUUCUGAGAAGUAAAAAUUUUACAGACAAAAAAAUAAUCGGUUGUUGCCAGAGACCAGAACCAUUUAAGGAAGUAAACUACACUUAUUCCAUGGUAUUUUGUAGUGACUGGUUUCUGAAGCCCCUAUUGACACUAAAAUCUAUGGAUUCCCAGGUUCUUUACAUAAAAGGAAAGAUCACUUGAAUGUUAAUUAUAUAAGGUCUAUGCAUUUUGUAUCAUCUCUAGACUAUUUUUAAUACCAAAUACAAUGUAAUGUCAUGAAGGUAGUUGUGAUACUAUUGUUCAUGGAAUGACACGAUUGCAUAGCGUUAGUGUGACAUAAUUAAAAAAGGACUCAUUUCCAAUCUGAACUUAGUUGAAUCUGUAUAUGAGGAAUCUGAAAUUUCAGAAGGCUGUCUGUACUCUGUGAUGUCAUUGAUCAUACGGACAUGCUGUUAUACAUGUGUCUACAUCCAUGUGAGGUAAAACCCUGAAACAGAACAUUAAUUUAAUGUGCAGACAUUGAGUGAGAUUGAGAUAUCUAUAGGCAAUGCAGGUCAACCACCUUUAACAAUUGUGUCUUUUUUUAUGGGAUAUGUUGGUAAUUAGGCAGGCUGUACAUAUGUCAGGGCAAAGCAUAGACUCUACCUUCUGCUGUAAACCCAACAUUGGCCUGAAUAAGUAAAGUAUGCUAAACAGAUGCAUUUAAUAAAUAUGAGUCCUUUCCCUUUAUUCUUGUGUCUUCAACAUUUGGUAAAUACCUUGCACAAAGGUAUGUGCUCAAUGAAUAAUUUGGAAAUUAAUUUCCAAACAUUAUUCACAUAUCUAUGCAAGUGAGUUGAAUACAGAAGCACAUUUAAAUAAAGGAAGACUGUGGCACUGGAGAUUGAAAAUAGAGAGGACACCUAAAGGGUGACCAGAUUUGAUCUAACAAGAUUGGACAUAUGCAACAAACAUGCAUGUGCAUUUUCCAACCUGAACUCUCACAUAUAUAAGGCUAACUUAGAUCUCUCAAAAGCCCCACUUCCCAAAGAUGGUCAUGUGGAAGGGUCUCUGUGUUAGAUAGGUAUGUAUAUCAUGAGGCCAGCACCAUAUUGAGCAGGGUGAAUUCUUUACUUCUUUUUAAAUAAUUUCUCCCCUGAAAAACACUUCUUGUUCCCCAUAACUACUCUUGUUCUAGUCAAAGAAUCCCUAUAGAAUAUUUUAAAAAUUCUUUAUUUAUUUUAAUCCAUAUAUAUAUAUACAUACAUAUAUAUAUAUGAGUCUCUCUCUCUUUGUGUGUAUUUAUGCAUGUGAUUGCAGUAUCUUCUUAUAUGCCUAUCACAAUCCAGGGUCUGAUGUCUGUCCCCAGCACAAAUAAAAAGGAAAUGAGGUGGCUUACAUCUAUAGCAAGAAUGAAUGGAAUUGGAGACAAUUUGUCACUUAAGCACACUGUCCUGAUGAGCAACCACGAGUCUGCAUCAGACAACGUUUCUGGAGGAGACAGCAGAACCAGAAUGAGUCAGCUUCCUUAUUACACACUCUAAAUUGCAACUACUCCUAUCCAUGGUGCUCUAGUCUGUUUGUACUCAACUAAGUAAUGUGCAAUUGAGUGUCCAGCAACUAAUUAUAGUGCUUUCUUACUGUCUAGCUGUUGCCUAUCUUCUUGUUCCCAUGAAAACCUUGACUUCCUUAUGAGGUCAGAUCCUCUGCUACAGGUUUAGAUUCUCAGAGCAUCACAGUCCCUCCUCCCCUGUUUAUAGAGCUUGGUACAGUACUAGCUUUCCAUUGGUUUCUGUAAUUGAUCAAUAUUUCCUUUUCUGUGGUAGAAUGAAUACAGAGCUGACACUGUUCUUUCUUUCUUUCUUUCUUUCUUUCUUUCUUUCUUUCUUUCUUUCUUUCUUUCUGCCUUCCUUUCUUUCUUUCUUUCUCUCUUCCUUCCUUUCUUUCUUUCUUUAAAAAAAACCAUUCUAUUUCCAAGUGAAUUUACUGAAUAGCAGCAUUAUAAAUAGACAAAAGUGUGUAAGAGCAGCCUUAAUUCUGCAAGGACUCUAUUAAUAAAAUUACAGUAUUUGUAGGCGUAUGUGGCAUGAAUCUAAAGAACAGGUUGGUCCUGUGGGUACAUUAGGAGGCUUGAGACUGACAAAUGUCACACUUUGAGCUACUAAACCCUGCCAUUGAAUAAUGGUAUAUGUAGUCACUGUUGCCUAAUAAGCCUGAAGCCUGUGACUUUCUGGGUUCCUCUUUGACUCAUUGGUAUAUAACCAGUUCUCCAGUACUCUUUCAAUCAGAGUCAUAUGUGAUUCCGUUAUUACUUGUUUACUAUGUAUUGAUUAAGAGGGGUAAUUUUCCAGUUGAAUGUUUUAACUCACUGUUUUGGGUUUUCUUAAUUGCAUAAUAAUGAGGAGAAAGUUAAUUUAUAAUUUACUCUAAGAUCUUUAUUAAACCAAUUUAUUAAAAAUAAAAAUUACUUCCAAGAAGAUGUGCCUAGCGGUAGUAAGUAAUCACAUUAGUUCAGAUUAUGUGAGAAAAUAAGAACUCUUUUCUAAAGAAAAAUAAUGUUUUAGGCCAAACUCUCCUGUGGAUUCUGUGGCAUGCCCUCUUGACAGACGGCCACUGAUUAACUCAGAGUCUCUCUCAGCAUGAGAGGCCACUGAGCUGUCAGCCCAGCAGCUCCUAAUAAACUUCUGACCUAUGGCCUUUGACUUAUCCCUGGUGCCACUGGAUAAAACAGAAGCCAAUAAUGUAAAAGUAAUAUUUUUCUCCUUCUAAUUUAGUGUCUUUUCAGGGGAACGAACCAAAUUAGGAGUUAAUUCUAUUGGUAUUAACCCUCUUAUGAAAUUUAUUUUUUGACCUCAAAACCUCCCAAAUCGUAUUGAUUUCCACGCUUUAUUUAGAAGGCAUCCACACUAGCCAAACUGUAAUAAAACUUAGGUGUUUUGUCUUACAAAUAAAUAAAUAAAUAAAUAAAUAAAUAAAUAAAUAAAUAAAUAAAUAAAUAAAAUCGUCUCUUUGUUCACAGUUGCUAUGUCAACAGCAGAUGGCGGUAGAAAUCCAGGCCCCUUGAGAGCUUUAGCAUCCGAGCUUGGAAAGUCCCUAAAUAUCUCCUCUCCGUGCAGUCACAGUACUUUUUAGCACUGAUGAAUUCUGGGCACUCUGUGAAGUUUCCUGACACCUUUUGUAUUGUCAGCUUUGUACGUGGAAAGAAAGAUUACAGGGCCCAGGAAAGGAUGUUUCUUUGGUUAGGAAAAAAAAAAAAAGCCCAACGGAAAGCAGGCAAAGGAAAAUGAACUGAGGGCUCUGUAAGAGCAGAGGUGGAAACAGGAAACAGGAAAAGAAAUGGAAAUGUGGGCUGCAGGCAAAGACGGUGCCAGGAUAAGAUUCUCUGCCGCUCCUAUGAAAGGCUUUAGGUUUAAUCUCUGAAGAUUCACCGACUGUCCCCCUUCCCCAUUGAGUCCUUUCAAUCUAGGGUCCUUAGCAUGGUUAAGGCUAGAAUUCCCACCCUGAAGCUUUUUAACUCCAGAGGCGGGUCUGUCCAUAUUGGAGAUUUGUGUGUGAGUGUAUUGGGGGUGGUGGUGGUGGUAUUCAAUGUCUUCGAAACAUUUUAAGCAUUAACUAUCUGCUCUUAGUUCCCUUAAUUUUCUUAUCUAUUUUGUGAAUACAUUCUUCAUGUGGCUGGAUAAAGACAUAAACAGGUGGGAGGCUAAUGACGGUGUCUCUCAUUGGUAAAGAGCAUACACUACUCUUGCAAGGGACUGGAAUUCAGUUCCUAGCCUCCAUUUGAGUUAGCCACAAUCAUCUGUAAUCCCAGUUCCAGCUGUAUCCUCUGCCGCUGGUCUUCAUGGGUACCUGCACUCACAUGCAGACACAUAUGCAUAUACACAAUUAAAAACAAAGUUGACAGUUAUAUGUGGUAUUCAGCUCUCUGUAGCAUUUAAACACUGUAGGGAUAUACAGAAAUCUCCAUGUACCUCUCUGUUUUUAAGAAAUUGCUAAACCUUUCUCUCCCACCCCCUUCCUCCCUUCUGCCCUUCUACCUCUAUCUCUCCAUCCAUCAAUUCCUCUCUUCUUGCACUCUUCUCUUUCUUUUAGAUAACAUACUACCAUAUAGCUAUAUGUGCUAGAAUUGAAAUAUUUCCUGCUUUAGCCUCUGAGUGCUGGAAUUACAGUUGGGAAUCACAAGCCUGCACUUUCUGUGUAAACAAUGGCUCCAAUUCCUAAUCACUGAUCUUAGUAAUUAACAACUUGAACAAGGCUUCUUCUUCAAAUACAAAAGAAUACCUCUGAACCUAGAUCCAUAUGUCAGCAGGUUAGCCCCCUUUAUUCACUACUGACAUUGCUUUAUGGGGUAAGAGUUGAGAAGUGUGCUGGAGGAAAUUGCAUCGGAAGCUGAAUACGGAUGUGGACUAUUCUCCCAGUACAUGGGUAAGGGUGACUGACGCUAUCUGCCCCAGAGGGCUACAUAUUCCUCCACAUGAAGAGCAAUGGGCUCCUCAACAUCUAGAUUCCAGGCUCACAGGAAUAGACUUCAAAGUCUAGAAGCAAAAUGAUCACUUCCAAAAUGUCAGACAGUGGUUCUUAACAUGUGGGUCAUGACCCCUUUAGGGUCUGGCAUCAAUAGCAGGAGAAGCCCUUGGUCCUCUGAAGGCUUGUUUCCCCAGUAAAGGGGAAUGCCUGGGUGUUGAGAUGGGAGUGGGUAGGUGGGAGAGGGCGCAUUCUCAUAGAAGCACGGGGAGGGGGAAUGGGAGAGGGGGAACCGGGAAAGUGGAUAACAUUUGAAAUGUAAAUACAUAAAAUAUCCAAAAAAAAAAAAAAGACACAUUGGUGAUAUCUACAAGCUAGUCAGUCUGAAAGAGUACACUGCUUUUCUGUUGGUCACUUGUAGAUUUAGUGACUUUGGAGAGAGUUUUGGUUGGGACCGGGUAGAUUAACCAUUUAACUCACAGUUUCUCCUUUACUGUUCCUAAAAUUGCCCAAUCCUCAUUUCCUAAGAGCUUGUUAUAAAGAGCAGAUAACAUCCCCCAUAUUAGCUCUUUCGCUUAUGCAAAUACACAGCUUAGACAUUUUUUUUCUAUAGAAUGCCUCUAGAAUGACUGUGAAAGACUGUAUGAAAAGGGAUCUGUAUCAGGUAGAGAACAGCUCUGAACAGCUGAUGGUGCUUGUUAAUCUUUGCAGCUCUGUCAAAACCCUCCUAGAUUUUUCUAUGUGACUUCCUUCUUCUUUCUGCAACCUCUUCCCACCAUUCUCAGAAUUCAGCUCACACCAUCCCUUUCAAGAAUCAAGCACAUCAAAGGCAAUUCCUAUGCCCUUGUCUUGUUAAUUCUACUGACUCCCCAUAUUGCUAAAGUCUGUUUAUGCUGAGCUGCUUUGAAGUCUAUUUUGUUGCUCCAAUCAACUUUAGAAUAUUCUUUGGCCUUGCAUAUCUGUUAUUAUCAUGUUCUGUCAUUUGCAAGCAUUAUUAAAAUGUUUAGCAAGGUUUUUAUUCAUGUUUAUGAAUAAAGUAGUAUAAAAAUUGACGGAGGGUGUCUGUAUGUAUAUAUAUAUAUAUACACAUAUAUAUGUAUAUAUAAGCAUAUAUAUAUAUGCUUCUGUUUUAUUUCUCCUCUUUUAGUUUCUCCCCAGAGUUCCUAGCAGAAUCCCACACAUGUGUUUGUUCAUUCAUUCAUUUCUUCAUUCAUUCUUCAUGGGCUGCUGUGUAGCCCAGGUCAGUCUAAAGACUUCUAUUCGGCCUGGUGAUCUGCCUGAAUUAUAAGGUUGUUUAUUUUUUAAUGACAGAGUUCAGUUAUGUAAACUAAUCUGAAAUAGUCCAUUAACUGACCACUCAUGUGAAGGACUUUACCAUGGAGGCCAACAUGCAAAUUAGCUCAUACAGCUUCCCUGAAAGAGUGAGGAGUCUUCUUCUUCUUUUUUUUUUUUUUUCAGAAAAACGUUUUGGGGUUUGGUUUCAAAGGCUUGUCUUCACAGCUUUGUAUGUACAUAUUUUGUACACACAGGGGUGUGGCUGAUGACUGGCGGGUCUUUAUUCACAUUCUCAGACUCUGUUCGGCCUCCUCCUCAUUCCCUAAGAACUUCUCCUAAAGGUCAGCCAGCACCUUCUGACUCAGCGUUUCACUAAUGCAAAAACAAAGCUUAUUAGGAAACUCUUCUUACAGGACGUCUCGAAAACAAGCAUGCAAGGCAACAUAAAAAGGGCUUUGCACCAUGAGAAGCAAAGCUCUGGGGGAGCUUGAAAGGGGUCUAAAUCUCAGUGGAGAGUCUUCUGACUGACUGGAGACUGUUCUGCUUUUGUUCUGGGCUCUUUUCUGCUGAGAUUUACUCCCUCUGAGCUAUAAUUCCUUCCACACAGUGCUAUUGAAUAGUGAUUAGUUUUUAUGGGCGACCUUUCCGGAAAAACCACCUAGGAGAUGUCAUUUACGUAGAAAAGCAUCCCUUAUAUCAAUGUUUUUACUUUCUGAUGUUUCAGUUACCCACAGUCAACCAUGAUUUGAAAGUAGCAAUUGGAAGACUCCAGAAAUAAAUAAUAUUGAAGUUUUAAUCUGUUCAACAUUUGGAGUAGUUUAAGGGAAUCUGCUGCAUCUACUCAGGACACAGCACAUCGCUUUUGUCCAGUGUAAUCAUUGUGUGUAUGCUGCCUAACACGCAGUAGUACCUUAGGAGAUGGCUGAAUUAUUAGAUUGAUCCCUGGUGCCACGGUAAGAUGUUCAAGUAGUUUUUAAUUAGUAAUGGAUCCCGAAGUACUAAAGUAGCCAAAAAGAAACCCGAAGCAGUGUUUUCUUUCUUUGAAGAGAACAAUAGUGUUAAAGAAAGGGGAAAAUGCCAUAUAUUGAAUUCAUUAAGUUCUGUAGAAUCCCCUAUCCAUGAAAUUGUAAAGAAGGAAAAGAAAUCCAUGAUAGUUUUACUGAAAAGACCUUGUCCACAGCGAAUGCCAAGUACUCUGUUCAACUCGAAGAGGGUAUAAAUAUGGGGUUUGGUUCUUUCUAAAGUUUCACUCAUCCGCUGAGGGGUACUGGGACAUAAUGGUUAUUUAAGUUGUGAUGAUUGGCUUUGGGGUCAUUUAGUCCAUAGUCCUAUUCUCAUAGGAUCUACAUCUGAGCUCCUCUGUCCUGCUUCCUCCACCAGUGCUCCUCAUAUGGCUUUCUGUGACAUUUUGAAGUCAGCAGACCCAUUGCAUUGCUUUUUCAGUUUGGCAUCAUUACCUUUAAAAUUCCCUUCCUUUUCUUUGAUAGAGUCUCUGGAGGAAGAGGAGACCAAGGUGUGGACCGUGUCUUUCAAGAGCAUUUGGACUAAAUGUGUAUUCAGCUACUGGUAAGUUCUUGGUACUUUGCAGAAAGUUGGUGAAUUCAAUACGAUUCUCCCCUUUGGCUGCUUCAUCUUAUCAGAGAAUGAGAAUUAGUGAUUAUGUCUAUAGUGGAGUUCAUUUAACUCAAGUGGAAAGAAUGGUGAAGGCAAAGCAAAAUGCUUAUUAGGCAAACUGCUAAUAAGCUUCUCUUAAUAAAAAGAAAGAGAGGGGGUGGAAAUAGCUUUAGAAGGAUGCAUCAUUUAGCACUUGCAGAAGUCCCGUCUUUGUGUUUAUAACCACAGCGUAGGAAGGUCCCACACUGAGCUCUGUGUCAAGAACACUCCAUGAGAACACGGAGAAGUAAGACAAGUGGUAAAAUAGAUCUCCACACUGGCACCCCCACCACAAACAACAUCUUCACUAUGAGGAGUCAUGAACAGAGACAACGGGGUCAUUCAAAACAGGUUACUGGUUUUACAUGACAGUGUCUAAAGUCAAUGUCUUUCUUGUCUAUUGUUUUUACUCUGGGACAUCUUUGCUUUAUAUUACAGCCUAAAUGUAGCAAAUGAAUUACAUGACCUGUUUCCCCCUCCUUAAUAAAGUCUUUUCACAUCACAUUAUAGGGGACAGGUCUAUCCAGUAGAGUCUGAUACAUUUUCAAAUACAAACUGUUUUAUUUUAUGUAAGUGCCCAUGAGAAGAUUGCUUAUGCCUCGGAGAAGCAAGAGUUAGAAGAGAUAAUUAUCUCCUAUGAUUAUUUUGGAAAUAAAACCAGAUGUGACAGAUGAAUAGAGAGGCUACUUGGCUAUGUAGCCAGCCAGCCAGAUAUUGCUGGGCACCUAAUAAACACACAGUCAAUAUCUGUGAACUGUUCUGUGAGGAAAUAUCCAUGAACCGAGUUGCUAAACAGAUAUCCACUGAGAUGUUUGCUCUCUGCUCAUGAAUUUUAUAUGUGGCUGAAAACAAAGCCAGGGUCCAUCUUUCCCCUUCUCCCUUUUUUCUUCCCCCUACCACUCUGAUGCUGAUUGCAUGAAGUACUCUGGGUCCACCACUACCCCAUCAGACACACUGCCUGUACGGUAUAAUGAUUAUACCACAUUUCCAGCACAUAUGAAUAUUUGUGUCACUCACAUUCAAUCUGCUGAAGGAAAGGUGAGAUUUUAUAUCUGAAUUGCAAAUCUAGUUCCUGUUUUCCUGGCUGGCACACAGCAUAAGCUUCAUAAAUAACUCUCAGGGUAGGGAAGAGGUACGGAUAAGGGAAACAGAGGGGAAGAAAGAGGAGGGGAGAGGAAGAGGAGGAGAAGGAUGAGGGAAGGAAGUGUGUGUGGGAGGAGAAAAGCAUCUUUCUACAGUCCAUGCUGUGUACUUUAUUGUAAGAGAAAGCACUCUUUAUUCUCUUACCCUUCCAGGGAGAUGGCCCGUUGGAGAGUCACUGAGGGCUGACGAGUUGCAGUACUGUGCUGAGAAUGACUGUAAAGACAAAGAAAAACAGAGUAAGAAAGGGACAUUUAUGUAAAAUGCCUUUGUAUAUUUUAAUAAAUCUGUCAAAAAUAACAGAUAUUGAAAUAUAUGUAAGAAAUUCAGUUGCUAGCUAUAAGUAGACAAAUAUACCAGAAAAAAAAAAAAACAAAAAAAACAACACUCCUCUACAUAAAGGGCAGUGUUCCCUUGUUACUGGGAUUCAACAUGAAUUAUCCUAGAGUAAGUCUUAAAUGGUAGCUAAACAUGACACGCAGCAUAAAGCAUAAAUUUGAGUAUGAUGUUUUGUGUUUUUAAAUAGUCUGAGAAUUUCAUAAAUCCAGAGGCAGUGGAUGCCUGUAUUGAAGCAGUGUUUACCUGACAUGACAGGGCCAUUGCACACAUGAACUCAUAGUGACUGUGACUGCAUGCACAAAUCUUAGCAUGGUUGGGGGAAGGGCCCAUGAAGUUCCACCCUAGCUGAGAAGCUAUUGACAACUCAUGCCUACUAGGUAAGGAAGCAUCAUUCCCCACUCCGCCCCCCAAGGUUUGGGCUCCUGAGAGGCUAGCCAUGCAUGACUCAUGCAUUUCUAGGCAGCACUAACUGGACUCAGGUGAUUUUAAAAAAGAGGGAAAUGUAUCUUUUAAGCUGGAGAAUUAAAAGACAUCAUUGUGCAAAGACUAAUCUACAAAUGAGAAUAGUUUAUUAAUUCAACUAUGCAACAUUUAUUGGUAAAAUUAAUCAGUCAUUACUGAUUACAUUGUAUUCAGGUGUUUGAUAAAUCUUGAAAUGGUUGAAUAUCAGUCUUGAAAUUUGACGUGAUUCAUUAUUUUGUUUUGAUUUCAUAUAGCGAGACUGAUUUUGUACGUAAGUAGUCGAAAUCAACAUAAUAGUUAGCACAAAUGAUCUUUUACAUCAGCAAGUAUCUUUCUGUUUUAUAUGCUUAUGUCCUCUGUUUACUAAGCCUGUGGGUUGGACUGUUUAAAAGAUAGAAAAAUUGAGGGGAAAAGAGGUUUAGAGCUUGGUCAAGGUCAUCCAAUCAACAUCUCUGUCUGAAUUGCUAUCCAGGCUGAUUCUAAAGCCACUUCAAUUAGAUAGAUGGAGAACCUUUUGUCUGAGAAAGGUACAACAGUAAUCCCACAGAAAAACUAUAUCUGAAAGAAUGUCAUCUCUUACUAACAUGUGCAGCUUACAUCCUUACCAACUCCUCACACAUCCAUGUGCAUUUCAUAUAAUUUUAUAUAUGCACACAGAACACACAGACACAGACACACACACACACACACACACACACAAAAGACUUCCUUUCAUAGUAUAAUAGAAGCAUUUUUGGCAAUAUCAUUAUUUUAGUUCAAUAUAAUAUUACUGUUCAUAUACAUUUAGUCAUUCUUGUAGUUAGAUCACUAAAAUAUUUCUAUUAUUUUGAUAUUUUAAACAGUGCUGCAGUGACCAUACUGAUAACGACCUUACUUUUUUCUUUUGUUAUGACUUAUUCUAGAUGAAUUACUUCAAAUGCAAACAGUUACUAUGUUCUUCACUUAUAUUAUAAUGAACUCUUCAGAGCAUAGAGUUUUUCUCUAUACAUACGUUCAUACAUAUAUACAUGCAUACAUACAUAUCUGUUUACUAAUUGCAUUUAGUACUACUCUUAUAUACAUAUGUUUAAAAAUGACCUUUAGGGGUUGGAUAACUUAUUAAGGAGGCUCAUCCCUGAAUAUAUCUGUGUAAGUUUCACCCCAAUCUUAGAAUCACUGACUAUAACUUAAAAAAAUAAUUUAUCUAGACGUGUGCAUUUGUGUGCAUGCAUGUGUGUGUAAGAGCGAUAGAUAGAGAUCGAGAUAGAUAGGUAGAUAGAUACAUAGAUAGAGGCAGCACAUACGGAGUUCAGGGAACAACCUGAGAUUGGUUCUUUCCUUCCACCAUGUGGAUUCUGGGAGGUUGAACUCUAGUUCCACUGAGCCCUCUUUUUAUUUAUUUAUUUAUUCAUUCAUUCUUUCAUUCAUUUAUUAUUUUUUCCACUGAGCCAACUUGCCAGCCCCCGACUUUACACUGAGCUUUCUCGACAGCGCCCCCAACUUCAUAAGUUUAGUAGAUAAAAAAUUUAAUAGAUGGAUUUACCACGAACAUUUUUUAAUUCUUGAGAAUGCCAGAUAACACUAAGUAGAUACCAUCUCUUCCUUGACAUAUACACAUACAGUGUAUUCUUAUAACCAAGAAAUUACAGGUAACUGCAGCCUGGCCUAAACUUUCUUCCUAUAUGUUUAUUUGUGGUUUUAUUUCUUUUGUGCCAACCAUACAAUUCUUUAUAUUUUUCUUCUAGUUGAUUUGAAAGUACCAAUAGUUCUUGGGUAAAGACCAAUAUAGGUUACUAAUCAUGAUUAAUGGAUAAUUAGAAUCCCUGAUAACUUUGCCUUUAUUGGCUCAGCCCACAUAAUUAAAACAAAGAAAUGCCCAGUAGUUUCACUCUAUCACCUCUGCAUGACUACAAUUCUCUCUAGAAUCCACAUCUACGUUUACAGGCUUAGUUCCACAACAUGCAGCAGGACAGGAAAAUGCUCAAGAGAAAUUGAUUCCUUGACACUACAUAUGUAAUGUCAAUCAAUUCUUGGUAGAAUGUAAAUGUAAAACAAGCAGAUGUUAUAUUCACAACAUAGAAUGAUCCUUUUUCUCUAGAAAGACAGAUAUAGUGAAUUAUCAGAUAGUCGAGACCCCAGAUAGGAGUGGAGUUCUCUGUUUACAGACAGCAUCUUGUGUGUAGGGGGUACUUGUACAGUGUGUGUAGGGGGUUCGUGAAUAGUGUGUAUAAGGGGUCACCUUGUACAGUGUGUGUAGGAGGUAUGUCUAGGGUGAGACGCUGUUUGAUGAAGAUGAGAAGCAUUUUAAAUACAGAGACAUCUUUCUUUUAGAAUCAAAUAGAUACCAUUCCCUCCAUUUCUGGCCAUGACACACAGUGGGUAGUCCUAUGACUAAGAAGUCUCAGCUAACUGCAGCCUGGCCUUUGCACCUCCUGAGGCAAUGAGGGGAGAAAGAUGGAAAACUGAGAACAGGAAGAGAAAAAAAAUAAACCAUCCAGUCAGAAGAAUAAAAAUAGACCUUCCUGCUUUAAUAUUGGCGAGGUUAGGAGGGGGAAUGGGUUUCAUCUCUAAAAUCCCCACCUACAGAUAGCUGCCAUCAUCCUCAUGGCAUUAGCUUUCCUAGGGUAGCAUCUUUCCUAAUAAGAAGCAUGGGAUAGCCCUUCAGCACAGCUACUGUGGUUUUCACCUUGGCAUCCAUCUUUCCCACACAGGAACAACACCAACAUGACAUCUCAGCCUGGCUUGUUCACAUCUCUGCUCUCCUACUAGGUCUCAUGUGCUUUGAGAGCAGAGAGAUGUGCUUACCCUCUCCUCAGUCCAGCCUAAGGUUGACACAGAAAAGAAACUUCAGUGUCUGUCUGAGAGAUGAAUAUCGUAUGAACAUCGUAACUAAGUUCCACUUACUUGAAAAACCCCACAUUUAUCUCUUUUAAAACUAGCAAUGACCUUGAGAGCCAGGUAUCUAUUUAUUUUUGACAGAAAGUAAAUUAAGUCUUAGAUCUUCCAGCUGGCUGAUGGCAAAAAUGGAAGUCAGGUUGUCUAACUCUGAAGCACUUGACCAUAUUGUCUAGAGGAUGAAACCGUCAAAGCUGUGUGACCAGUCCACAAUGAGGCCCUGGCAUAUUAUGGUAGGAAAUGCUGAAAACAUUUUAAGAGAUAGUAAUACUUUUUAUAAAAAUGUCAUUUUUUCAUCAUGUAUGCCGAAAUUUAACAUCCAGGACUUUCCAGAAUCAUGUCUGUGCUCAUCACUUGAAAAGAAAAUUGAACUGUCUUACCCACACUACCUCUGUAGAAAGUUCUGGAUACUACAGAGACUUUGAGUGACAACGGAGAGGAAGGAUGAACUUGAGGAGGGUUCAGCACUGCUUUACCACACUGAUCAUGAGGACGAAGCCCCUGCCAUCUUGCAGCAUCAGCUUGUGGUAUCAGCUCUGUGUUAACGUAGAAGGGCUGUGGUAUUAAAUAUGGUGACUAUGGGGAAAAUCUUACUUAGACAUUUCUUUGAAUCCACAUGCUAGGUAAUUGCUCUGUCGCUGUGCACUGUGACCUGCCCUUGUCAAUACAGUUUAAGGUGGAGGGAGCCCCCGUGUCUGUCUAAAGCAUGUCAUCUCUGAACAAAAUUGAGCCAAAGCAUCCACCAUAGACUCUAUUUCUUAUGAAUUCUGACUUUCCAGUGAGAUUCCCAAGCUUUUGUUUAUGAAAAUGGCACUUGAAUGGUACUAAGAAAUGCACUGCUAUCGCUAGCGUUCCAUUUUAAAGCAUCUGAAUUGAAAUUAUUCUACUAUACGUGAAACUUUAAGGACCUACCUGGAAGUUAUAAAUAUCUGAUUUUUCUUCUCCAAAGGAGAUAAUUGUAAUGCCAGACAGAUUAAUUCUAAUAUUUUAUAAUAUUCAAAUACAUUAUUUUAUAGAAUAUAGAAUACUUAGGGCCUCUUGUAGGCACUCAGACUCAAACAUCCACAGAGCUCCUCCCUCUUGUUUUUAUAUUUUGAAUAGUGUCUCACUAAGUUGCCAGACUCUCCUGGAAAUCACUUUGUAAGCUCAAGGAGGCCUUCAGAUAGCCAUCUCCUGUCUGUCUCCCAAGUUGCUGGAAUUCCAGGCCUUUGCCACCAGGCCCAGCACAAAAAAUUAUUUCUGUCAUAAUUAAAUAGUAACAAUCAAUAAUCUUAACUGAUUUGUAAAGUUUCAUUCAUCAUUAUAAUAUCUUCUGAUAUAUAUUCAAUAUUGUUGAUUCCUUCACUUACAUUUUGUUGAUCUUUACCAUCAGUUAACUGCAUAUAUUUGAUGUCUUAAUAUUUUCCUUAUUUUCUAUCUUCUUUUUCUCUAUGUUUGUGUGCAUAUAUUAAGUUGCAAAAUGUCUUUACUAAGAAUUCAACUAGUAUUUCAGAUAAACCUAAUGAAACCAUCACCCUUUUAUUUCACAAAAUUACUUAUUCGUCCUUGUAUUCUCCUACUGACGCUUGACAACUAUUUUCCUGUACAACUAAUUUGAUUUGGAUUAUAUUAAACAAAUGUUAAUUGGAUAGUUAUUAAAUACUAAGAUGUAUUAGGUGCUUGAGAUGACUCUUUACUUUCUCAACAUUACAUGUUCAGCAAAUAUCAUAUGAUAAAAUGAUGAUGUUUAAAUGAGCUAUUGCCCAUGUCUACAAGGCUAAUACUUGUCAAUGAAUCCCACAGGACUUAAGCUGUACUUAAAAGACUGAGCCAUUAACUGAAAGUAGAGAGGGGAAAUAAGUUAUUGUGAGAACUGAGAAGACCUGGCUUAAAAUUAGUCAGGGUCAAAACAGAUAAUAAGCUUGACUUUCUUGGCUUGGCAGAGGAUGAGGGCAGGAAGGGGAUGGGCAAACCAUGAGAGCAAUACCUUGGCAAAUGUUUCAGACUUUACUAGCAAUGGAAGGCUUUCCGAGGUUGGUAAAAGGGGAGGGUUAAAGUGGUGAUAGUUAUCAUUCAGAAAGGUAUAUGUGUACCAUGGAAGCAAGCUGCAGUCUGAGAAAACAAUAGGAUACCAUGGUGAGGGGACUAAGUACUCAAAUAUGUAGUGGGCGUUAAGAAAAGUGAACGAACUUGUUCAACACAAUUAAAACAAUUGUCUAGAAAUGGGCUUGAGGGAGUUAUACAGAAGGGAAUAAACUUUGUGAAGUGUAUAUACAUUUUGAUAGGCAAAUGUUUACAUGGUUUAAUAUGGUACAAUAUGAUGUUUUAAUUAAUGUACACUAAAGAUCAGAUCAUGGUAAUUAGCAUAAUGGUCACCUUAAACUUUUAUCAUUCUUAUAUGAUGAAUACAUUAAUACAUCCUUUAUUCUGAGCUUCUUUAUAUAUAUAUAUAUAUCUUAUUAUUAAUGUUUUUACUUGACUCUGCCACAGAAUAUCAGAAAUUUGUACAUUUUUGGACUCCUAACAUUGCAUCCACUGACCAACCUUUUCUUACCUCCUACUUGGCCUCUGUAAAUCACUCUCUAUUUUCAAUUUAUAUAAUAUCAACCUUUUUAGAUUCCACAGAUGAGUGAAGUAUGUGUUAUUCGCCUUCCUGGGCUUAGCUUCUUUCACUUAACAAGACAUUCCACAGAUUAUCCCUACUGUGCCCAAUAACAGAAUUUAAAAAAUUGUAAUAGCUUGAUAGUACUUUACUCUGAACACAUUCCAUAUCCUGGCUAUUAUGAAUCAUGUCAAUAAAUAGAGAGUACUUAUUGAA